rnacentral:rRNA from 1 species
GACGAACGCUGGCGGCGUGCCUAAUACAUGCAAGUCGAACGCUUCUUUCCUCCCGAGUGCUUGCACUCAAUUGGAAAGAGGAGUGGCGGACGGGUGAGUAACACGUGGGUAACCUACCCAUCAGAGGGGGAUAACACUUGGAAACAGGUGCUAAUACCGCAUAACAGUUUAUGCCGCAUGGCAUAAGAGUGAAAGGCGCUUUCGGGUGUCGCUGAUGGAUGGACCCGCGGUGCAUUAGCUAGUUGGUGAGGUAACGGCUCACCAAGGCCACGAUGCAUAGCCGACCUGAGAGGGUGAUCGGCCACACGGGGACUGAGACACGGCCAAGACUCCUACGGGAGGCAGCAGUAGGGAAUCUUCGGCAAUGGACGAAAGUCUGACCGAGCAACGCCGCGGGGGGGAAGAAGGUUUUCGGAUCGUAAAACUCUGUUGUUAGAGAAGAACAAGGACGUUAGUAACUGAACGUCCCCUGACGGUAUCUAACCAGAAAGCCACGGCUAACUACGUG